rnacentral:rRNA from 1 species
CAGUCGUACCGGCGGGUAAUCAGCCUUUUGGGUGUGAUUAUGUGGAGCGUGAGGAGCUAAUCGCCUUCAUCUUUGCAUAUUCGUGCACUUUGGGUGUACUUGCUCGUGUGGUUGGUUAACAUCAAUUUCGGUCGUCAUAAAAUGAUUGGAGGAAUGUAGCUUUGGUCUCGUAUCGAAGUGUUAUAGACUCUGGUAGAUGUGACGAUUGGGGAUUGAGGAUUGCAACGGAUACCCCUUCGGGGGCUACCCGUCUGAUCUCUGAAGGUUGCUCCGGUGCCGAAAGCGUGCUUACGGUCAU